GAUGAACGCUGGCGGCGUGCCUAAUACAUGCAAGUCGAGCGAACAGAUGAGGAGCUUGCUCCUCUGACGUUAGCGGCGGACGGGUGAGUAACACGUGGAUAACCUACCUAUAAGACUGGGAUAACUUCGGGAAACCGGAGCUAAUACCGGAUAAUAUAUUGAACCGCAUGGUUCAAUAGUGAAAGACGGUUUUGCUGUCACUUAUAGAUGGAUCCGCGCCGCAUUAGCUAGUUGGUAAGGUAACGGCUUACCAAGGCAACGAGGCGUAGCCGGCCUGAGAGGGGGAUCGGCCAUACUGGAACUGAGACACGGUCCAGACUCCUAAGGGGGGCAGCAGUAGGGAAGCUUCCGCAAGGGGCGAAAGCUUGACGGAGCAACGCCGCGUGAUGGAUGAAGGUCGUCGGAUCGUAAAACUCUGUUAUUAGGGAAGAACAAAUGUGUAAGUAACUAUGCACGUCUUGACGGUACCUAAUCAGAAAGCCACGGCUAACUACGUG
rnacentral:rRNA from 1 species